rnacentral:snRNA from 1 species
AUACUUACCUGGUGCUGAGACGGCGGCGAUCACGAAGGUCGCGUCUCCGGGCCGAGGCCUUCCAUUGCACUGCGGAUGGCUGACGCUCGCCACUGUCCCUAAUGGGGCAGGUGGGGCAUGUAAUUUUUGGUAGUGGGGUACGGCGUACGCGCCAACCCCUU